rnacentral:lncRNA from 1 species
AGAAAAAAGAGGAGGAAUUUAAGGACCUCUGCUAGGAAACCUUGAUGGUUGCAUUGUAUGCAACCCGAUUUGUCCAAUUAUCUAGGUUUGCCCAAUUGAUGGUCACCCCUGAGAGUCGCAAGGCUAAGAAGUUUCUAAAGGGUCUUCGUGUUGAUAUCUAUGAUCGGAUUGUGAUGCUGAGACCCAACUUGUAUGUUGAGGUGCUAGAACAUGCCCAGUUGACCGAAUACCUUAUCUCGAUCAAGCACCAACGCAUCAUUUGAGUCUACACCCAACAA